rnacentral:rRNA from 1 species
GGGCCCGCACAAGCAGCGGAGCAUGUGGUUUAAUUCGAAGCAACGCGAAGAACCUUACCAAGGCUUGACAUCUACCUAAACUCAUGGAAACAUGAGGUCCCUUCGGGGGAGGUAAGACAGGUGGUGCAUGGUUGUCGUCAGCUCGUGUCGUGAGAUGUUGGGUUAAGUCCCGCAACGAGCGCAACCCCUAUUGCCAGUUACCAGCACGUAAAGGUGGGAACUCUGGUGAGACCGCCGGGGACAACUCGGAGGAAGGUGGGGACGACGUCAAAUCAUCAUGCCCCUUAUGUCUUGGGCUACACACGUGCUACAAUGGCCGUUACAGAGGGCAGCAAGAGGGUAACCUUAAGCAAAUCUACAAAAAGCGGUCUCAGUUCGGAUCGUGGGCUGCAACCCGCCCACGUGAAGUCGGAGUUGCUAGUAAUCGCGAAUCAGCAUGUCG